CCUACGGGUGACAGCAGUGAGGAAUAUUGGUCAAUGGACGCAAGUCUGAACCAGCCAAGUAGCGUGCAGGAUGACGGCCCUCCGGGUUGUAAACUGCUUUUAGUUGGGAAUAAAAGGGGGCUCGUGAGCCCCGUAUUGUAUGUACCAUCAGAAAAAGGACCGGCUAAUUCCGUGCCAGCAGCCGCGGUAAUACGGAGGGUCCGGGCGUUAUCCGGAUUUAUGGGGGUAAAAGGGAGCGUAGGCCGGCUUUUAAGUCAGUGGUGAAAGUCCGCGGCCAAACCGUGGAAUUGCAGUUGAAACGGGAGGCCUUGGGGGCAGACAGGGAUGCCGGAAUUCAUGGUGUAGCGGUGAA
rnacentral:rRNA from 1 species